UACAGAGGUCCCGGGCGUGUUCGGAUUCAUUGGGCGUAAAGGGUGCGUAGGCGGCGGGGAAAGUCUGAUGUGAAAUCCUGGGGCUCAACCCUGGAACUGCAUUGGAUACUUCCUUGCUAGAGUACUGGAGAGGAAACUGGAAUUUACGGUGUAGCAGUGAAAUGCGUAGAGAUCGUAAGGAAGACCAGUGGCGAAGGCGGUUACCUGGACAGUUACUGACGCUCAGGCACGAAAGCAUGGGGAGCAAAAGGG
rnacentral:rRNA from 1 species